GGAGAGAUGGCUCAGCGGUUAAGAGCACUGUCUGCUCUUCCAGAGGUCCUGAGUUCAAUUCCCAGCAACCACA
rnacentral:tRNA from 1 species